AACCAAGAAGUCACCAUUAUUACAUCCUUCUUCUGAAACUUAUCUAACCACCAAAAAAAAAAAAAAAAAGUCCUCUUUAGAUUGAGGUUACAAAUUAGAAUGCUAAAUUGGGCAAGUCUCUUCCUUACCUAUUCUGUAAGGUAGGCUGCCUGUUGAAAGCCGAAAAUAAUGCAUUCCUAUGCAUAUGUAAUUGUACAGAUAAUUGCCUCUAUCAUUUAAAAAUAUCAUUUGCCAAAAUGGUGCCUAUGAUUAAUUAUGUACAUUUAUCACUGAGUCGACUGGGUACAUUAUAAAAUCCUUUCCCUAAGCUCAUACAUUUUUCCUCUCUUCUUAUUUCUUUCAAUGUAAGUUAUUUUGUAAUUCAAAAAUUUUUUGUUAUUCCUUAAGCCAUAAUUCAUCUGCAGGGAAGGAGAAACUAUUUGCCCUCUGGCUGCAGAGGGGUUGCUUUUUGACUUUUGACAUCAAGGAGCAAGGGUAACAAUGUUUUAAAUCUCCCCUCUUGUGUCUUGCUUCUAAAACACAAAUCCUGGAGAGGGAUCAUUUAUUGAUAUGCAAGUAUCUCUAUUACCAUUUCCUCAGCCCCAAACUGUACAUUGUUGGUCUUCAAUGUCAAAUGAUACCAAGGAAAGAAAAAAAGUUGAUUAAAAAUAUAAAAUAUAUGGUAAUCUUGAAAUUCUGACACAUAGAACUUAAUUUAAUGUGAAUAUCAUGUAGUUAAUGAUAAUAGCAACUAACCAAGAACAGAUUUUGCUUUAACAUAAGGCCUCCUUAUUGUCUCCCAGCUUCUCUGCUCUGCCCUGGAUUCUCAGAACAUCCAGAUUUAUCCUCUGAAACCUAAGUCUGACCCUCAGCUAUGAAUCCUCUACUCUUUUCCCAUCUCACUCAAAAAGUCACAAUCUUUCCCAAGGCCUGUGAUGCCUGAAAGAUCUGCCCCUGUGACUCCCUCCUAAGACUUAAUCUCCUUCUGCUGAUCCCUUCACUUACUCCCCCACCCAAGGUGGCCUCUUGCUCUUUCUCUAAUACUCUCGGCACUCUCCCUACUCAGAGCCCCUGUGCUUGCUGUUCCCUCUGCCUAGGCUGCUGUUCCCUGUAUUCAUGUGGCUCUUCCCUUACCUUCCUAACGUGUCUCCUCAACUGUCACCUUUCUCAGCAAGGUGCUCCCUGACCUUUCUAAGAUUGCCAUCAUAUCUCUAGCCAGAAACUGCCUCCUCCCAUUCCCUGCAUUAUCUUUUUCCUUGGCAUGUAUCACUGUUCAAUGUACCUUAUAUUUUACCUAUUAAUCUUGUUUAUUAAUUUCUCCCUCCACUAGAAAGGAAACUCCAUAGGGCAGGGAUUUUAAUCUAUUUGGUUCACUGAUGAAUUUUCACCUUUUAGAACAGUACCUGCCACAUAGUAGAUGCUCAGCAAGUGUUUGCGGAUUGAACAGAUACUUGUGUAUUGUAUUUUUGUUAUAUCUCUCUUCCCCAGCAUAGGCAAAAUGGUUGCUGGCCAAACCUAUAUCUACAUAACUCAAAAUCCCAACAAAAGAGAAGCCCUCUUAAUCCUGCCUUCAUUCACAAAUCUCAGUGAAUCCUUGACUGACCCUGUAGUGGUGAUGGGGUGUGGUGGUGUGGCAGCAUGCUCUGUCAUGGCAAUGGACAGCUUCAGCGGGAUCAGGACGAGAGAAGGAGAGGUUCUCUGAAGAAAGGAUCUUAGACAGGCAGGCAGCAUUAGUAAACUAUAAGACCCAACAAUUUUAUGGUAAAUGGCUUUCUUUUUUGUUGUUGUUGUUGUUGUUGUUGUUGCUAUUUCUUGGUAAAUGACUUUCUUAAUUGUUACUUGACAGACUGUAAUAUAAACUCUGUGAAGUCAGUGGCCGGCUGCUUUGCUUACCACUAAAUCUUAAAGGCAUAGCACAUAUUAGACACUCACUAAAUGUAAGAAUGAAUGAAUAAGUGAAUGGCAAGUAACAUGGGAGGCAAGUCAUUAAGUUUGGCGGCCUCAGAACAAAGGAGAAUGUCAUGUGAGUUAAAUAUUUAUGGUAUGUGCUGAGACCAUUGGGUGGAGCUCAUUAUGAUUUGGAUAUACCUGUCAACCUGACCAGGCACCCACCCCAGGACUGCUACUCAGGAAUUAGAACUGUGAAUUUCCCUCCAUGCAUUUUCUUUGCUUCCUAUCUGAAUGGCUUCCUUUGAGGUUGCUGCCAUCCUUCUUUAGAAAUGGAGAGACUCUCUGUUAGGUCUGGGUCUAUGUCGCAAGUCCUUCCUUAAGACUAGUUUUGUACAACUCUGCUGGGGUUCAUUGUGCAGAACUUCUCUGCUUAAAACUUCCAAGGGAAAUCCUUCCUUUCCAAGUCUUUGAGAGGCACUUAACUGUCCCUCCCUCUUAUCCCUGCUGCCUUUUGUAUAACCCUGAGAUCUGGUUCCUCACAGGAAAACACAAGGGAAAACACCAUGAAACGUACUCUGAAGUACUGACAAAACAACACUGAGUUUGUGGAUUAGCCUCCUUCCCUAGAUGGCACAUAUUAGAAACUUGAGCUAGUAAACAGACUUAGGGGAUUGCACAUAAGGGACCUUGACAAAACCCUUCUCCCAUUUUAGAACUUUAUAGGAAGAGAAAGCUUCAUAUAUAAAAUUUCAUUUUAUAUCAUGCUUCCUGUACCUCCCCUGUCCUGCCAUGGCUGUCAGCCAAGGGCAGAAGUGUUAUCAUUUGCGGGUGACAGCAAGAUGAUCCUCACAGGGUCACUAUGUGUUCUAUAUUGUGGCAGACCCUUCUGCUGAAAUAUGGAGGUGCCGUGAUGUUCAAUCAAUGCAAUGCAUGAUGUGGAGAUUUGAGAUGAAGCUAAAUGUAGCUUCUUUUGAUUUUACUUUUUCAUUUUUUUCCUGGCUGAAAACUCUGUAGAAGAAAAACUGCCUCUGGAUAAAUCAUCUUUUCAGCUUUGCUAGUGUAGUCAAAUGAUGUUAUCCUGAGAGGAUCAAAAGGGCCUGGAUGUUAAUUGUGUUCAUUUAUGGUUCCAUAUAAAGUUUUUGUUUUUGUUUUGUUUUGUUUUAAAUGGAAGUUCCCAGGCUAGGGGUCGAAUCAGAACUACAGUUGCCAGCCUAUGCCACAGCCACAGCAACACAGAAUCCAAGCUGCGUCUGUGACCUACACCACAGCUCACAGCAAUGCCGAAUCUCCAAACCACUGAGCAAGGCCAGGGAUCGAAGCCACAUCCUCAAGGAUUCUAGUCGGAUUCAUUUCCCCUGUGCCACAAAGGGAACUCCCAU
rnacentral:lncRNA from 1 species